GGGGCGGUGGCGCAGUUGGCUAGCGCGUAGGUCUCAUAGCUGCAUUGAGCGAUGCCGUGGCUGGGCGGUGGGGCCGGCGCACGUUGAGGAUAAAUAUCUCAGAGCUAGUGAGUAAUCCUGAGGUCGAGAGUUCGAGCCUCUCUCGCCCCA
rfam:Triticum aestivum genome assembly, contig: Triticum_aestivum_CS42_TGACv1_scaffold_500125_6BL